UACGUAGGGGGCUAGCGUUGUCCGGAUUUAUUGGGCGUAAAGAGCGUGUAGGCGGCCAGGUAGGUCUGGUGUGAAAACUCGAGGCUUAACCUCGAGAUGUCAUCGGAAACCAUUUGGCUAGAGUCCGGAAGAGGAGAGUGGAAUUCCCGGUGUAGCGGUGAAAUGCGCAGAUAUCGGGAAGAACACCUAUGGCGAAGGCAGCUCUCUGGGACGGUACUGACGCUGAGACGCGAAAGCGUGGGGAGCGAACAGG
rnacentral:rRNA from 1 species